rnacentral:rRNA from 1 species
GACGAACGCUGGCGGCGUGCCUAAUACAUGCAAGUAGAACGCACAGUUUAUACCGUAGCUUGCUACACCAUAGACUGUGAGUUGCGAACGGGUGAGUAACGCGUAGGUAACCUGCCUGGUAGCGGGGGAUAACUAUUGGAAACGAUAGCUAAUACCGCAUAAUAUUAAUUAUUGCAUGAUAAUUAAUUGAAAGGUGCAAUUGCACCACUACCAGAUGGACCUGCGUUGUAUUAGCUAGUAGGUGAGGUAACGGCUCACCUAGGCGACGAUACAUAGCCGACCGGAGAGGGUGAGCGGCCACACUGGGACUGAGACACGGCCCAGACUCCUACGGAAGGCAGCAGUAGGGAAUCUUCGGCAAUGGACGAAAGUCUGACCGAGCAACGCCGCGGGAGUGAAGAAGGUUUUCGGAUCGUAAAGCUCUGUUGUAAGAGAAGAACGGGUGUGAGAGUGGAAAGUUCACACUGUGACGGUAUCUUACCAGAAAGGGACGGCUAACUACGUG